rnacentral:rRNA from 1 species
CAGGCUUUUUCACUCGUGUCGUGAGAUGUUGGGUUAAGUCCCGUAACGAGCGCAACCCUUGUCCUUAGUUACCAGCACGUUAUGGUGGGCACUCUAAGGAGACUGCCGGUGACAAACCGGAGGAAGGUGGGGAUGACGUCAAGUCAUCAUGGCCCUUACGGCCUGGGCUACACACGUGCUACAAUGGUCGGUACAGAGGGUUGCCAAGCCGCGAGGUGGAGCUAAUCCCAUAAAACCGAUCGUAGUCCGGAUCGCAGUCUGCAACUCGACUGCGUGAAGUCGGAAUCGCUAGUAAUCGCGAAUCAGAAUGUCGCGGUGAAUACGUUCCCGGGCCUUGUACACACCGCCCGUCACACCAUGGGAGUGGGUUGCACCAGAAGUAGCUAGUCUAACCUUCGGGAGGACGGUACCAUG